UGGUAGAAUGACCCAAGUCACUUGCAUUCUAUGGCAACCCUCACCUUCUAUCCUGACCCUCUCCCUCUGAGAUAUUGUCUGGGGUUUCAAAGAGGAAAUUAAUUUUGAGCUGAGGUAUGUUAAUAAUUUCUUCUGCAAAGCUCUUAUUGCUGUAUGCAAUUCUCUGUGUGGGAAUUCUCUGUUCCUAGGGAUAAGUGAUAAAAAGUUCAAAAGAGCAAGCAUCAGAGUAUCUUUUGAGAUGUUUCUACAGGGAGUAAGAAACCAAGAGAUCUUGUCCUUAUCAAGGCUGUAUAGACAAGUAAAACUUCAGAGGCAGGAGGCCUGGGUUUGGAAUGCCAGCAUUGCCACUUACUGGCUUAAGAUUAUCAGCCUAUUUAAUUUCUCGGAGGUCCUUAGCUGUCUAAACACACUGACAAAAUUGACCUCUGAGGUGUUCCUGACCAUCAAGUGAGGCAAAACUCAGCUUGUUGCCUGGCACACAGCAGGUGCCUGCCAUUGUCACCUCCCCAGCGUCCCUCCUAAAGUGGCACAUUUCCGCCCACUCAGACCAGGACUUAAAAAGCCAAUUUGCUCCAAGGCUGGGAGUUGGACUAAGAAAAGCAGGUAAAACCCAAGUCCCCUUUAACAUUUGGGAGCUGUCAACUACAAGCCCCUGAUGUCACAGGCCUGACAUUACAGCCGGUUGCCUAGCAGUGGAAAAAAACUGUCUGGCAAGUAGGAGAAUUUAUAGAUAUUUCUCAAAACUCUCUGGGACCUGAGUUGGGGAACGGGGAGGAGGGGAUCGUGGUAUGUAGGUUAUCAAAAGCUCAAAGAAAUCCAGGUCCUGUCUGAAUCCCUGCUCAGAGAUGGAAGGAGGCAAUGAAAAGGCUGAAGAAAUUUUUCUCAAGGUUGUUUACCAGUUGGGACAGUGGGCAGGCACGUACUCUGUUUCUCUGUCUGCUCAGGCUGCCCUCGGGGCCAGCAGGAAAAUCACUCUCCCCUCACUUGUUUUUACCCAAAGCCUCCAAAGGAAAGAUUUGAGAGAUCUUGUUUUUUCACAGACUUGGAUAGUGUCUCCUUCUGUAAUCCAGAAAGCAGAUGUUUUUGGACGGGGCUUGGAAGCAAGAUGCUGAAGACCAGAGCCUGUGAUGGAAAAGGUGCAUUCCUGCCCAGCCGCUCAGGACACUGCCCCUUUGUGACCAACUCACCUCUCUUGGUCCUGUAUCUAUGACCUUCCAUCACUGUUUGGAGCCAUUGCAAGUGUGAGCUUGUAAGAUAUCACUUUUCAGAAAAUUUGGGGCUGUAACCAUCGGCAUUCAGAUAUGAGUAAAAAGAUACGUCGGUCAUAAAGCCAAACAUAACAAUUAACGCGUCAGGAUUCCUGAGUGCAUUUUGCAAGAGCAGGUCAUGUUGCAGCUGAUGUCAGAGCUUGCGUGUUUUUAAUCUCCUGAAAGUGCCCAGGGAUUUCUCUCAACCUUGGCCGUGCACACAGGAAAAUGCUGUCCAAUCGUUUGACAUUCUGUUUGAGUGCAUCAUCCACCAUCUUGAAAGGGCCCCAGCUUGAUUUAUAUCCUUUUGAAAAUUCCCUGCUUAUCUGUGGAAGUCAGAUUUAUAGAAAUGCUUAAAGGAGCCAAACUUUGGCUGAGCAGAAUCAAAGACAUAAUUAGGCCUGAAAAUACCUUAUCAGGCACCAAAUGCUGGUAUUUCUUGGUACUGCUUAGGCUAAGAAUUUGGAAGGAGUGGAGAAAUGAACCAAACUGUUUCACCUUCGAGAUUUUUUUUCUGCUGAAAUCAACAUAGGCAUUCUUUGCUAUCAUACAUGAUAAAGUACUGAAACCGGCUUGAUACCCUCAUGAGCUUUCCCUGGUUAGGCCAGUUCUGAAGUGUGUAUUGUACAUGGGCAGAGUACCAGGAGUUACACACUGGUGCCCACAGGGCUAAGUGAUAGGGUUACACAGAGAGGGUAAGUGACAGUCCAGUGACAGGGAUGGAGACAGCAGUGUGAGUGAGCAUGCUCGAUCUAAAGGGACAGCCACACCUCUACUCCCGUGAGAACCAAGUAUGGCAAUAUUUUCUGAUUUUUUUUUCCCAAGAAAAUUCAGAAAUCUUGAUGCUUAGGUGGAAUCUUUAAAUGUUGGCCACGAAUUCAAAUUUUUUAAAAAUUCUCUAUACAAGGGACAGAGUCAGAUUGCUGAAUCGGGCUUCUAGAGUGGCAGUUUUUAACCUCUGGAACAGUUUAGGACUUGAGCAUUUGUCCCAGAGAGCCCCACCGUCUGGGGCUCUCAUGGGUGGGGAGUUACAAUGACCUUUUCCCUGGGACAUCUUGGAGGGUCUGUCACUCAGUCCUUCUGCAUUGAGAAUAGCCAACCAGAAGCGCUGCUUACCCACAAUGCAUCCUUUGCAUCUUCCACCACGGUCAGCACGCACUGGGGGUUGACCAAGUCUACAGUUAUUUGCUUUCUAUGGAUAUGGUAGCAAAUUACCACCAAUUUAGCAGCUUGAAACAACACAGAUUUGUUACCUCACAGUCCAAGAGGUUAGAAGUCUGACCCCUUUCUCAAUGGGCUAAAAUCAAGAUGUUGGCAAGGUGGCAUUCCUUUCUCAAAACUCUUGAGAAGAAGCUGUUUCCUGCCUUUUCCAGCUCUUAGAAGUUGCCCUCCUUCCUCAGAUCAGGGCAACCAUCAUCUUUUCAACUUUUUUUUUUUUUUUUUUUUUAACAGCCACUCCUGCAGCAUAUAGAAGUCCCCAGGCUAGGGGUCGAAUAGGAGCUGCUGCUGCCAGCCUACAUCGCAGCCACAGCAAUGCCAGAUCCGUGCCUCAUCUGCAAACUACACCACAGCUCAACCACAGGAAGUUGUCUUCAGCUGUAUUAUUCUUCCCUCAUCUUCUGAGGCUCACCCUGUUCUCACCAUUUAGCCACUCAUUUUGCAUCUUGGCCUGAAAAACAAAAAGAUUCAGUAGCAAACGGCACUUCCUAUAUACCCAUUUAAAGUCCCUAUAAACAAGGAAUUCUUUUUUUUUUUUUUUUUUUUUUUUACUUUUUAGGGCCACACCCACAGCAUAUGGAAGUUCCCAGGCCGGGGGUCCAAUCAGAGCUACAGCUGCCGGCCUACACCACAGCCACAGCUAUGUGGGAUCCAAGCGGCAUCUGCAACCUACACCACAGCUCACGGCAAUGCCGGAUACUUAACCCAAUGAGCGAGGCCAGGGAUGGAACCCGCAACCUCAACAUUCCUACUCAGAUUCAUUCUGUUGUACCGCAAAGGGAACUCCAUCAUUUUGUUUUUCUUUCUCUUUUUAAGAAAGUUAUUUACUAAAACUUUAUUGAAUGGCUUCUGUGGCUUCACCGUCUGUAACAUUGUUAGGUCUCAGGUGGGGAGGCUAAGAGAAGAUUCCCAAACUAAGAAAAUGCCUCUGGUCCUCAGUCCCUUAUCAAAUGUACAAUUGAGUAACAGGUGAUAGACGAGGAAAGCAGACUGGCUGUGGGAGAAACAGAGAAUACGCCAUGGGGAG
rnacentral:lncRNA from 1 species